AUGCAGCAAUUAUGAAGUUCAUUUCCAGAAGCCCGCUGUAUCUAUGGCAACCAGUAAUUCUGGAAGAAUAAAGACAGGUUAUAAACUGACUUCAAUGGGGAAAACUUUUAACAGAGAAGUCUCCGGGAACAACCAAAGAGCAGCUCGGCCUGUUUACUUCAAGUUCGAAGCAGUUUUUGCCACAUUUCAGGCAGCCCAUAAAGAGGAAUGAAAGCAACAGGGGGAUAAGAGUCAGGACUGAAAUCCCUGCUGCUCUGGGUCUAUUUGUGCACUGGGAGCUGCAUCGAGAUGAAACGGCAAAUGACCCCAAACUGCAAAGGCAUCCGAAUGGGACUGUUGCUGUCUCUGCCUCUUUUGACUCUGCCUUUGAUCCCUGCGGAUGACCUGCUGGGCAAUGUGAAUGCCACUGGCACAUAUAUGUUGUACCUACUGCGAAGGUGAGAGGAAACCUUUGCCUGCCAACCACAGGUUUUCCCCACUGUGUGUGUGCGCGUGUGUUCUUUUUGGAUAAGGGAGGGAGAUGGAUCAUCAGAAUGGACACUGAGAUCACUCUUUUUAGGACCAACACUUAACAGGCUUUUGUCAUUUGAUGAGAUAAUCAAAACAAGGACAUAUUCAUGACCUGUCCUCUCAAGGCUCUGGAGGACCAGGCUCAUUUUCAUCCUGGACCUUUAGAUCAGACCAAUAGACUGCUAUCUUCACUCUUCUGAGUCUUAGGACACACUCCAACAAGGCAAGUCUGGGCAGAUUAAGCCUGAUCCUAUCAUUGUAAAAACUAUAAUAGAAAAAGGUUCAUUUAUAUAAAAAACAGGCUUAUUGAUAAUGUCAAUCCCGUUGGGGAAAGUCUGGAAUAUGGGUAGAAUGGGAGGUUGAGACAACUUAAAAAUAAGCCUGUCAAAGUUUACAAACAAUUUAAAUACAUUAUUUUUGGAGGUACUUAAAGCAAUUGUGAAAUAGAUGCUGUCAUUAUUACUGUUUCCAUUUAAUAGUUGAAGAAAAUGAAGUGCAAAUGUGUUUCUUUUUGUUCCCUUCUUUAUUUGGGCUGGGGGGUAUCGGUU
ensembl:lncRNA